rnacentral:rRNA from 1 species
GCAAGUCGAGGGGUAUAGUUCUUCGGAGCUAGAGACCGGCGCACGGGUGCGUAACGCGUAUGCAAUCUACCUGUUACGGAGGGAUAGCCCAGAGAAAUUUGGAUUAAUACCUCAUAGUAUGUGAGAAUCGCAUGGUUUUCACAUUAAAGUUCCAACGGUAAAAGAUGAGCAUGCGUCCCAUUAGCUAGAUGGUAAGGUAACGGCUUACCAAGGCAACGAUGGAUAGGGGACCUGAGAGGGAGAUC